UAACAUGCCGUGAUUACACAAGAAGGUCUGGAUGCUCGCCAGCCGCAUCGAACAUCGGAGAUAGGGAUGAUUCUUGCUCCGAAUAAUCAUGUCUUCUGUGUACAGUAUAAACAGAAUUCCAUGUAGAAGUUCCACCAUAUUGUUCAUUGGAGUUCAAACCUUCAUACCAGGGUGUCCAGUUUUGUGAAUCUUGCACUCACGAAUAAAAAAGAAGUUGUUAUCCAUAAGUGAACAGAAUGACUGUCUGGUUGAUAAUGUGGACAGCACUCUUGGUAAUGGCUACAGAAGGUAAAACAUUGUAUUGUUAC